rnacentral:rRNA from 1 species
GACGAACGCUGGCGGCGUGCCUAAUACAUGCAAGUCGAACGCAGUGGGGACGGGUGAGUAACACGUGGGUAACCUCCCAUCAGAGGGGAUAACACUUGGCAACAGGUGCUAAACCGAUACUGAUGGAUGGACCCGCGGUGCAUUAGCUAGUUGGUGAGGUAACGGCUCACCAAGGCCACGAUGCAUAGCCGGCCUGAGAGGAGGACCGGCCACACUGGAACUGAGACACGGCCCAGACUCCUACGGGAGGCAGCAGGGGGGAAUAUUCGGCAAUGGACGAAAGUCUGACCGAGCAACGCCGCGUGAAUGAAGAAGGUUUUCGGAUCGUAAAGCACUUUUGGUGGGGAAGCGGUAUCUAACCAAAAAGCCACGGCUAACUACGUGCCAGCAGCCGCGGUAAUAC